rnacentral:rRNA from 1 species
GGAAUAAUGAAAUAGGACAUCUGUUCUACUUUCAUUGGUUUUUUAGACCAAGAUGUAAUGAUUAAUGGAAGCAGUUGGGGGCAUUAGUAUUACAACGCGAGAGGUGAAAUUCUUAGACCGUUGUAAGACUAACUAAAGCGAAAGCAUUUGCCAAAGAUGUUUUCAUUUAAUCAAGAACGAAAGUUAGAGGUUCGAAGGCGAUCAGAUACCGCCCUAGUUCUAACCAUAAACGAUGCCAGCUAGCAAUUGGAUGUAGCUACUUCUAUGGCUCAUUCAGUCGCUUCUCGGGAAACCAAAGCUUUUGGGCUCCGGGGGAAGUAUGGUUGCAAAGCUGAAACUUAAAGGAAUUGACGGAAGGGCACCACCAGGAGUGGAGCCUGCGGCUUAAUUUGACCCAACACGGGAAAACUUACCAGGUCCGAA